GACAGCAGCCGCCACGGUAAUACGUAGGUGGCAAGCGUUGUCCGGAAUUAUUGGGCGUAAAGGGCUCGCAGGCGGUUUCUUAAGUCUGAUGUGAAAGCCCCCGGCUCAACCGGGGAGGGUCAUUGGAGACUGGGAAACUUGAGUGCAGAAGAGGAGAGUGGAAUUCCACGUGUAGCGGUGAAAUGCGUAGAGAUGUGGAGGAACACCAGUGGCGAAGGCGACUCUCUGGUCUGUAACUGACGCUGAGGAGCGAAAGCGUGGGGAGCGAACAGGAUUAGAUACCCCUGUAGUCCCUGUCUCUUAUAC
rnacentral:rRNA from 1 species